CCUACGGGCGGCAGUGAGGAAUAUUGGUCAAUGGCCGAGAGGCUGAACCAGCCAAGUCGCGUGAGGGAAGAAUGUCCUAUGGAUUGUAAACCUCUUUUGUCAGGGAGCAAAGUCACCCACGUGUGGGUGUUGGAGAGUACCUGAAGAAAAAGCAUCGGCUAACUCCGUGCCAGCAGCCGCGGUAAUACGGAGGAUGCGAGCGUUAUACGGAUUUAUUGGGUUUAAAGGGUGCGUAGGCGGGUUAUCAAGUCAGCGGUAAAAUCGAGGCGCUAAACCCCAUCCAGCCGUUGAAACUGAUGAUCGUGAGUUGGAGAGAAGUAUGAGGAAUGCGAGGUGUAGCGGUGAAAUGCAUAGAUAUCGCGCAGAACUCCGAUUGCGAAGGCAGCA
rnacentral:rRNA from 1 species